GUUUAAAGUUUUAGCCCCAUCAAGUUUGUUUGAGGAGAUGGUAACUUUUGAUGCAAUUGAAUAAUGUACAUGUGAAUCAAGUGGCUAUAUUAGAAAGAGUUGUCCAUUUGCUUCUACUUGAAAUUCUAAACUUUAGCCCUUUCAAGUUUGUUUUGGUGAUAAUGUAACUUUUGAUGUAAUUGAAUAAAGUACAUGUGAAGAA
rnacentral:misc_RNA from 1 species